UUAAAGGCAGUGCUUUAAUGCCUUUCUAGUUGCCGUGUUAAUCUUUCUUUCCGCGAUAUCCAACUCAUCUACGUGGGGGGUCAUUAGGCUCCAAGUAGAUCCGGAAAAUGUUGAUUAUCUCCUCUUCUUAUUGUGAUAUAAAAUGUUUUUUGUUUCAUUUCAUUUACAUUGGGAAAUAGAGAAACGAUCAUCGUGUUUUGUUAGUUUUAAAAACUUUUGAUAUAUUUGUAUUUUACAUUAUAAGCAGUCAACCGAUUGACAAACUAGAAUUAUUUGAAUUCCGUGUGGAAAGAGGUCGGGUUAAUUUCGAGUGUUAUCUGCAAUCUAGAUGUUUAUAAAUCAUUUCAGUCGUUGAUAUAAUAAUUAAAGGUCGACUGAACAUGAAUUAUAUUAUACAAUUUAAAGCGCAUUUCUGUUUAUGCACGCGAACCCGUCUAACGUUAUUGUUAUUUCGCAGUUAUAUAAAGUAGCAAAUUAUCGUUCCUGAAUAGGUGGCGCCGUGGUAGCCUAUCCUGUUCUUCAACUUCCGGUUUCUGCACUGUGCAACUAUUACAGUUGCAUUUUUAAUUAACGAUGCCAAGUACUUGUUGUUGUGUACCUGGAUGUCAUUUAAGAGGAGGACAUGCAUUUCCAAAUGACUUAAAAAGAAGGAAAAGUUGGAUCAACGCCAUGGCCCAUACGCAGAUUGGACGAGAACACGAUGAAAUCGUGGAGUCCAUCUCAAUCAGCUGUUGUUUGCAAGGCACAUUUUACUGAAAAAGACUACGUGCAGGAAACUAUUCAUGGGCGCAAACCCACCAUACAGAGACUUAAGUCUACUGCCAUUCCCAGCCUAUUUUCCUGGACCAAGCAAGAGACUGAAUCGUUCGCAAAAAGAAAAAUCAGGGCAGUUUCCUGUGAAAACAAAAGAACUAAACUUGAUGAAUAAUGUAGUAGAAAUCUAGAGGAAAGUUUUGAUUGUAAAGUUGGUUUUCCUGAAGAAGUCAUUCAUACUGCAGACAGGAUUUAUGACUGUCCACCACCAACUGCCGAGCUAAUGUUGAGCUUCACAGAUGGAAUUACGCAAACACCAUCAAUGCCUAUAUUUUCAGCAGAGAAUUUUGAAAUGAAGACACGUGACACAGCCAUGCAUUUUUAUACCGGUUUAGAGUUGUAUACUAAAUUUUUAUUUGUUUUGACCACACUUGGUCCAGCAGCACAUUGUUUGAGAUACAUAUAUUUUCAAAUUGAUAGGGUGUCAUUUGAAAAUCAGUUUUUUUAUGACUUUGAUGAAAUUGAGGCAUUAUACAACCAACUUUGAACUGUCUAGAUUCUAGAUUGAAACUAGUGUUAAGAAUAUUGUGUAAACACGGAUUGUUUUUAUGUCUUAACAGUGGCGUGAGGCUAACACUUGGCCAUUUAGUGGUUUAGUCAUGUAUUUUUCGCCAUCCAACUUCAAAUUAAAGUUUCCUACAACUUGGAUUAUUAUCGACAGCACAGAAUAUCCCGUGAUAAAACCUAAAGCUCCUAGAGCUCAGGCAACCUUUUCAUCAUAUAAAAACAGAAACACUGAAAAUACUUGUAUGUUCGACACCUGGUGGUUUAGUCAACUAUGUCUCUAAUGCAUAUGUUGGUUGUACCAGUGACUGUGAAAUAGUUGAAAGAUGUAGAAUAGUUCAGUUAUGUGAUCCAGGUGACAGUGUGAUGGCAGACAAAGGUUUAAAUGUGCAAGAUUUGUUUGCUCACUUUUUUCAAAAAAAGAAACAGAAUUAGUUCCAAAACUCUUAUACUGGAUAAAAAAGUCUCCAAUUAACACAUGCACAUAGAGCUAAUUAUUGGACUUGGCAAAACAUACAAAAUUCUAAUAAAUCCUAUGAAUGGAACUGAAACAAAACUUUCAUCUGAUAUAACAUUUAGUUGUUUUAUGUUGUGUAAUUUUAGAACUUGUAUUGUGCCAAAGGAUGCAUAAAUAAAAGUGACACAAUGAA